AACAAACGCUGGCGGCGUGCCUAAUACAUGCAAGUCGAACGGGGAAAGUAGCAAUACGAGUACUAGUGGCGCACGGGUGAGGAAUACAUGGGUACUCUGCCCUCGAGUUUGGGAUAACCAGUCGAAAGAUUGGCUAAUACCGGGUAUGACCACAGGAUCUGCGGAUCUAGGGGUAAAAGGUUUUUCGCUCGAGGAUGAGCCCAUGUGGGAUUAGCUAGUUGGUGAGGUAACGGCUCACCAAGGCGACGAUCCCUAACUGGUCUUAGAGGAUGAUCAGUCACACUGGAACUGAGACACGGUCCAGACUCCUACGGGAGGCAGCAGUAGGGAAUAUUGCACAAUGGAGGAAACUCUGAUGCAGCGACGCCGCGUGGGUGAUGAAGGCCUUCGGGUCGUAAAGCUCUGUCGUAUGGGACUAACACAAUGAAGGUACCAUGCAAGAAAGGAUCGGCUAACUUCGUGCCAGCCGCCGCAGUAA
rnacentral:rRNA from 1 species